GCCCUGAUAGCUCAGUUGGUAGAGCAAAGGACUGAAAAUCCUUGUGUCCCUGGUUCGAGUCCGGGUCGGGGCACCA
rnacentral:tRNA from 1 species